UAAGCCAUGCAUGUCCAAGUUCAUAACUAUUAAAGUUGAAACUGCGAAGCGCUCAGUAAAUCAGUUAUAGUCUGUUCGAUCGUUCACGCCCAUGGAUAACUGUGGCAAAUCUAUAGCUAAUACAUGCAAAAACCCUGGCUUAUGCCGGGGUACAUUUAUUGGCUAACCGACACCACUGCCUCUGUAACAGGAGGUGGUAGCAGGUGAAUCUAGAUAACUGUGCCUACCGUAUGACGCAAGUUGACGGUAUUUCGAUCGAAUUUCUGCCCUAUCAACUAGUUGGUAAGGUAGUGGCUUACCAAGGUAGUAACGGGUAACGGGGAAUCAGGGUUCGAUUCCGGAGAGGGAGCCUGAGAAACGGCUACCACAUCCAAGGAAGGCAGCAGGCGCGCAAAUUACCCAAUCCAGACAUUGGGAGGUAGUGACGAGAAAUACUGGGGGCGCUCAAUGAGUGCCAUCCGGAAUGAACGUAACAUAAAGCAUUCGAUGAGGAUCUACUGGAGGGCAAGUCUGGUGCCAGCAGCCGCGGUAAUUCCAGCUCCAGUAGUGUAUAUCAACAUUGUUGCGCUUGGAACGCUCGUAGUUGGAUUGCAGGGUUCUGAACAGUUGGUCACAAACUGUGGCCGGCUGGUUGUGCGCCUUUGGUGCACAUUGGGACUCUUGUCGCACCCGGCUUGUAUUCAGCCUUUGUUGGUUGGUACAAUACUGGGUGGAGUGUGCCUUGAAUAAAGCAUAGUGCUCAAAGCAGGCGUACGCUCGUGUGUAAUAGCAUGGAACGAAUAGUUAUUGACUGGGCUAUGGUAUGGGGUGUUGUUUCGGCAGCACCGCAACUAUAGCCGUGCUCAUCUAGUGUUGGUUGGAGCAACGGUCUCACUGGUUAAAAGGGACAUUUGAGGGCACUAGUACUUUGUGGCGAGAGGUGAAAUUCUUUGACCCACAAAAGACUGACUAUUGCGAAAGCAUUUGCCAAGAAUGUUUUCAUUAAUCAAGAACGAAGGUCAGAGGAUCGAAGACGAUCAGAUACCGUCCUAGUUUUGACAGCAAACUAUGCCAGCAUAGAAUAAGUUUAAUCUCCUUGUAAAAGGCAGAAUUUGAUUUGUUCUUAAGGGAAACCUAGCUUUCGGGCUGCUGGGAGAAUAUCGCUGCAAGGCUGAAAUUUAAAGAAAUUGACGGAGAGGCACCACCAGGAGUGGAGCCUGCGGCUUAAUUUGACUCAACACGGGGAAACUCACCAGGUCCAGACAUGUGUAGGAUUGACGGGUUAUAGAUCUUUCAUGAUUAUGUGAUUGGUGGUGCAUGGCCGUUCUUAGUUGGUGGAGUGAUCUGUCAGGUCUAUUCCGGUAACGAGCGAGACCGCGGUCCUUAUUUUAGCUGGUUACACCCCGGUGUUUCGGGCUGAUAAGGAGACUAUUGGUGUUUAAACCAGGGGAAGCGUGGCAAUAACAGGUCUGUGAUGCCCUUUGAUGUCCUGGGCUGCACGCGCGCUACAAUGGCAGCAGUAGAGAGUGGCUGGCCAGAGAUGGUUGGCGAAUCUGUGAAUAGCUGUCGUGAUGGGGAUUGAGCCUUGUAAUUGUUGCUCAUGAAAGAGGAAUUCCUCGUAAGCACUAGUCAUCAGCUAGUGUUGAAUACGUCUCUGCCUCUUGUACACACCGCCCGUCGCUACUACCGAUUGAAUUGCGUCCAGAGCUUGUUUGACCGGACCUUUGGCAUUCGUGUCGAAGGCUGGAAAGACAGACGAUGGAUGUCAUUAGAGGAAGAAAAG
rnacentral:rRNA from 1 species